rnacentral:rRNA from 1 species
AUUGAACGCUGGCGGCAGGCCUAACACAUGCAAGUCGAACGGUAACAGGAAGAAGCUUGCUUCUUUGCUGACUAGUGGCGGACGGGUGAGUAAUGUCUGGGAAACUUGCUGAUUGAGGGGGAUAACUACUGGAAACGGUAGCCAAUACCGCAUAACGUCGCAAGACCAAAGAGGGGGACCUUCGGGGUUCUUGCCAUCGGAUGUGCCCAGAUGGUAUUAGCUAGUAGGUGGGGUAACGGCUCACCUAGGCGACGAUCCCUAGCUGGUCUGAGAGGAUGACCAGCCACACUGGAACUGAGACACGGUCCAGACUCCUACGGGAGGCAGCAGUGGGGAAUAUUGCACAAUGGGCGCAAGCCUGAUGCAGCCAUGCCGCGUGUAUGAAGAAGGCCUUCGGGUUGUAAAGUACUUUUAGCGGGGAGGAAGGGAGUAAAGUUAAUACCUUUGCUCAUUGACGUUACCCGCAGAAGAAGCACCGGCUAACUCCGUG